UACGUAGGGUGCAAGCGUUAAUCGGAAUUACUGGGCGUAAAGCGUGCGCAGGCGGUUUUGUAAGUCUGUCGUGAAAGCCCCGGGCUCAACCUGGGAAUUGCGAUGGAGACUGCAAGGCUAGAAUCUGGCAGAGGGGGGUAGAAUUCCACGUGUAGCAGUGAAAUGCGUAGAGAUGUGGAGGAACACCGAUGGCGAAGGCAGCCCCCUGGGUCAAGAUUGACGCUCAUGCGCGAAAGCGUGGGGAGCAACCAGG
rnacentral:rRNA from 1 species